ACGGGUGCGUAACGCGUAGGUAAUCUGCCCUGAGGUCUGACAUAACCCGUCAAAGGCGGGCUAACAUCAGAUGAUAUAUAAUCACGACAUCGUGGAAAUAUCAAAUCUUCGGAGCCUUGGGAUGAGCCUGCGUCUGAUUAGGUAGUUGGCGGAGUAAUAGCCCACCAAGCCUACGAUCAGUAGCUGGUCUGAGAGGAUGAUCAGCCACACUGGAACUGAGACACGGUCCAGACUCCUACGGGAGGCAGCAGUAAGGAAUAUUGCUCAAUGGGGGAAACCCUGAAGCAGCAACGCCGCGUGAAGGAUGAAAUACUUUUGUAUGUAAACUUCUGUAAGAUGGGAAAAAUAUUCUCCUCGGGAGAAUUGAUUGUACCAUCAGAGUAAGCCCCGGCUAACUACGUG
rnacentral:rRNA from 1 species